rnacentral:lncRNA from 1 species
AAUCCGGUCUCCUGAAAUUGCUGGCCUUGUGCCAAAAUUUGAAAUUAAACUUGAAACCAAUAUAGAAAUAUUUCUCUACUAUUGUUUGCUGCGCUCUCCUCAUAGAUUACCGACAUUCAAAGUUAUUCCCACUGACCAUGAGCAGGAGUAGUGGGGGAUCAUCAUAGCCAUGUGGUGAGAGGGAUUCUUCAGGGUUUGAAUAAAUGUAACAAAAGCAAAGUUUGAAGGAAAUAUUAACCAUUUUUCAUACUUUCUAGGAAUAAGCAGAUAGGAAAUAACAACUGCUACUCAAAGACAAAAAUCGUAUAACACAUUAUUAUCAACCAAUUAGGCAGAAAUAUAUUCAGCAGGAUUUUUCGCUGUUUUUUUUUUUUGUUUUUUUUUUCUUGUUUUCACUUCUGAAUUGUGAUAAGAAGUUUGUCGUCAAUUCAACAGUAUUGAAAUGCUUUAACUUUUCAUACUUUCAGAGUCGAUAAAAUAAGUACCAGUUGAACACUGAGGUCGAUUUAAUCGCCUAUCCGCCUCCCCAAAAUCGAUGGCCCUGUGCCAAGAUUAUAAUAUAUGCUUGUUAUAACUUUGACAAGCACAAAUUUACUCUUAUUUAGUCAUUGAAAAGGAUGUAUUUCUCACUUGUUCAAAUUACAUACUCCACCCCUUAAUAAAACAGUCUUCUGAUAUUUC